AGUGAACGCUGGCGGUAGGCCUAACACAUGCAAGUCGAACGGCAGCACAGUAAGAGCUUGCUCUUACGGGUGGCGAGUGGCGGACGGGUGAGGAAUACAUCGGAAUCUACUUUUUCGUGGGGGAUAACGUAGGGAAACUUACGCUAAUACCGCAUACGACCUACGGGUGAAAGCAGGGGAUCUUCGGACCUUGCGCGAUUGAAUGAGCCGAUGUCGAAUUAGCUAGUUGGCGGGGUAAAGGCCCACCAAGGCGACGAUCCGUAGCUGGUCUGAGAGGAUGAUCAGCCACAAUGGAACUGAGACACGGUACAGACUCCUACGGGAGGCAGCAGUGGGGAAUAGUGGACAAUGGGCGCAAGCCUGAUCAAGCCAUACCGCGUGGGUGAAGAAGGCCUUCGGGUUGUAAAGCCCUUUUGUUGGGAAAGAAAAGCAGCAGGUUAAUACCCCGCUGUUCUGACGGUACCCAAAGAAUAAGCACCGGCUAACUUCGUG
rnacentral:rRNA from 1 species